CUACGGGAGGCAGCAGUGGGGAAUAUUGGACAAUGGGGGCAACCCUGAUCCAGCAAUGCCGCGUGUGUGAAGAAGGUCUUCGGAUUGUAAAGCACUUUCACUAGGGAAGAUGAUGACGGUACCUAGAGAAGAAGCCCCGGCUAACUUCGUGCCAGCAGCCGCGGUAAUACGAAGGGGGCUAGCGUUGCUCGGAAUGACUGGGCGUAAAGGGCGCGUAGGCUGUUUGUACAGUCAGAUGUGAAAUCCCCGGGCUUAACCUGGGAACUGCAUUUGAUACGUGCAGACUAGAGUCCGAGAGAGGGUUGUGGAAUUCCCAGUGUAGAGGUGAAAUUCGUAGAUAUUGGGAAGAACACCGGUUGCGAAGGCGGCAACCUGGCUCGGAACUGACGCUGAGGCGCGAAAGCGUGGGGAGCGAACAGGAUUAGAUACCCUGGUAGUCCACGCUGUAAACGAUGUGUGCUGGAUGUUGGGUGAUUUUAUCAUUCAGUGUCGGANCUAACGCGUUUANCACACCGCCUGGGGAGUACCGCCGCAAGGUUGAAACUCAAAGGAAUUCACGGGGGNCCNCACAANCNGU
rnacentral:rRNA from 1 species